rnacentral:rRNA from 1 species
GACAGAGGGUGCGAACGUUGCUCGGAAUUACUGGGCGUAAAGCGCGUGUAGGUGGAUUGGUGUGUCAGAUGUGAAAUCCCUGGGCUCAACCCAGGAACUGCACCUGAAACUACCAGUCUUGAGUGGUGGAGAGGGAAGUGGAAUUCCUGGUGUAGGGGUGAAAUUCGUAGAUAUCAGGAGGAACACCAGUGGCGAAGGCGGCUUCCUGGACACCAACUGACGCUGAGACGCGAAAGCGUGGGGAGCAAACAGG